UACGGGGGGAGCAAGCGUUGUUCGGAUUUACUGGGCGUAAAGGGCGCGUAGGCGGUCAGCACAAGUCAGUUGUGAAAUCUCCGGGCUUAACUCGGAAAGGUCAACUGAUACUGUGCGACUAGAGUGCGGAAGGGGCAACUGGAAUUCUCGGUGUAGCGGUGAAAUGCGUAGAUAUCGAGAGGAACACCUGCGGCGAAGGCGGGUUGCUGGGCCGACACUGACGCUGAUGCGCGAAAGCGUGGGGAGCAAACAGG
rnacentral:rRNA from 1 species